UACGUAGGGACCGAGCGUUGUCCGGAAUCAUUGGGCGUAAAGAGCGUGUAGGCGGCCACUUAAGUCCUGCGUGAAAUCUUGCGGCUCAACCGCAAGCGGUCGUGGGAAACUGGGUGGCUAGAGUGCGGGAGAGGAGAGUGGAAUUCCUGGUGUAGCGGUGGAAUGCGCAGAUAUCAGGAGGAACACCAAUAGCGAAGGCAGCUCGCUGGGACGUUACUGACACUGAGGCGCGAAAGCAUGGGGAGCGAACAGG
rnacentral:rRNA from 1 species